GAUGAACGCUGGCGGCGUGCCUAAUACAUGCAAGUCGAGCGAACAGGCGAGGAGCUUACUCCUCUGACGUUAGCGGCGGACGGGUGAGUAACACGUGGAUAACCUACCUAUAAGACUGGGAUAACUCCGGGAAACCGGAGCUAAUACCGGAUAACAUGUUGAACCGCAUGGUUCAACAGUGAAAGACGGUCUUGCUGUCACUUAUAGAUGGAUCCGCGUCGCAUUAGCUAGUUGGUAAGGUAACGGCUUAUCAAGGCAACGAUGCGUAGCCGACCUGAGAGGGUGAUCGGCCACACUGGAACUGAGACACGGUCCAGACUCCUACGGGAGGCAGCAGUAGGGAAUCUUCCGCAAUGGGCGAAAGCCUGACGGAGCAACGCCGCGUGAGUGAAGAAGGUCUUCGGAUCGUAAAACUCUGUUAUUAGGGAAGAACAAAUGUGUAAGUAACUAUGCACGUCUUGACGGUACCUAAUCAGAAAGCCACGGCUAACUACGUG
rnacentral:rRNA from 1 species